CAGCACAAGAAGAUGAAGCUGCCAGCAUGAUCUGAAAGCGGACGCGUUCUUCGUGAUCAUGUCUGGGCAAGGACAACACGGGAAAUAGGCGAGGCGACCAGAUCAUCUAGCAGUUUCAUUCUCUUGUGGC
rnacentral:pre_miRNA from 1 species